rnacentral:sRNA from 1 species
GAUCAUUAUUGAAUGAACUUGGUGUGGUUGUUGCUGGCCCUUUCGGGGGCAUGUGCACACCCAUCAUCCUCAUCUCUCCACCUGUGCACCUCUUGUAGACUUGGAUUGACUUUCCGAGGCAACUCGGUCGGGAGGACUUGCUGGCACUAGCUGGCUUUCCUUGCAUUUCCAAGUCUAUGUUUUUUCAUAUACCCCAUUGAAUGUAACAGAAUGUAACAUAUUGGGCCUUUGUGCCUAUAAAAACUUAUACAACUUUCAGCAACGGAUCUCUUGGCUCUCGCAUCGAUGAAGAACGCAGCGAAAUGCGAUAAGUAAUGUGAAUUGCAGAAUUCAGUGAAUCAUCGAAUCUUUGAACGCACCUUGCGCUCCUUGGUAUUCCGAGGAGCAUGCCUGUUUGAGUGUCAUUAAAUUCUCAACUAUUAUCAGCUUUUGCUGAUGAUGGCUUGGAUAUGGGGGUUUAUUUUGCUGGCUUCACAGAAUGUCAGCUCCCCUUAAAUGCAUUAGCCGGUGCCCCGCGUGGACUGUCUAUUGGUGUGAUAAUUAUCUACGCCGUGGACAUCUACAAUCAUAUGGGUUUGCGCUGCUYCCAACCGUCUGUUUACUCAGACAAUACAUGACAAUUUGACCUCAAAUCAGGUAGGACUACCCGCUGAACUUAAGCAUAUCAAUAAGCGGAGGAAAAGAAACUAACAAGGAUUCCCCUAGUAACUGCGAGUGAAGCGGGAAAAGCUCAAAUUUAAA